CACAACCCAGUAGUCACAUGAGAUAAAGUCCUAAGAGAGCCUCCAAGAGAGCCUCCAUAACAAAGCCAAGUAAACUGCAGCAACCCACUCAGAAUAACAUAAGAUAAGUGCUCCCACCAUUAUUACUGUAAUUAAAUAGCUAAGCAUACCCAAGGUGUAAAAUACAUAAGUAUACUAAAUUGUUAAGACUGUGGAUACAUGAACAAGAUAUCCUCAAACCAUUGAAUAGCUAUGUAAACAUACCCAAUGUGUAAUAAGUAGCUGUGUACAAGUAUUGUGUACAAGUAUCUAUACUUAAGACUGUGGAUGCAUUGAAUGAGCGGAGAGAGUUGGUACCAUCAAAGAUCUUUAAUCCCCAUUCCCGAAUCUCAAGGUCGGGCGUUCAAGUGCUUCUUUGUUUAUCAUUUGUCUAUGUUUUCUGUUUUAAUUUAUUUUCUGUCCCCUGUGCCCCCCCCCCAUUUGUUAUUAUUGACAAUAACCAGUACUGCCCACUUUGAAUUCAGACUAUAACCUAAGUCCUUUAGAUAAUAGCAGCAGAGCCACUGCAAAUGCAAGCUCACUUAAUAGGUAUAAUCAGUGGCGGAUCCAGAGGUAGUUCGUUGGGUUCGUACGAACUACCCUUCCACUAAGUUGAUACUUUAUAUUUAAUACACCUAGGACCUGGCUAGCUAGCUACCGGUAGCUUACUGUCGUGACAAUAGGGUACAAAGUUCUUCUCUCUGCAUAAUGUGAGGGUGGGGCUGGUACUCUCUGCAUAAUAUGAGGGUGGGGCUGGCUAUAAGGUCUAGAUUGCAACCCUCCAUUGACUCCUGGUUUAAGAAGAGUAAAGUUUCAGGUAAGGGAGAGUUCACGGCACUGCAUACUGAAUGAUAGACACUGUAUAGAUACACUGUAUAGAUUAAUUAUAAUUGCUAUAAUAAUUGGGGCGAGCGAAGCGAGUCCCUACCUAGUCUUCAACGUUGCAAUUUUGUCUGUAUGUAUGUAUGUAUGUAUGUAUGUAUGUAUGUAUCCAUGGACCGGCACAAUGAUUUGCUUUUGGGACUCAUGAUCCUUACCGACUUCCACGUCGAUGUUAAUAAAAAUUAAUAUUGCAUCCAUCUUGAUGAAUUGAUGAAGUGUCGAACAAGGAACGGUAUGAUCGUGUCACAGUGAAUGCCAAAGUAUUGAUGGUUUCACCUAAGGCCCAGAUAUCAGAUGGGCUCUGGAAACAAGAUGUUCAUAUCGCAGAUUCCACGACAUCAACUAAGCUAAUUCUUUUUGAGAACAAGAUUGAUUCGCUUGUAAAAGGUGAAACAUACAAAUUUGAAAACAUUCUUGUCAAUGAGUUCCAGCACCAAAAAUAUCUUCAAGUACCUCGCAACGGGUCAACAGGGACAAAAAUUGAGGAACUGCCAAAUGUUGUGGCCCAUGAUGAUGUCCCAGACACUUUCCGAACUGUACCAUCAGCUGAAAUUGUAGGUGUUUUAUCACUCGACUUGUAUAUCUCAUGUCUCAACUGCAAAAGUAAGAUCACCAUCUCAACUGACACUACAGGCAAAUGCAACAAAUGCUCAUUGAUUCAAAGUCUUCGUCACUCCACAAAGCAAUUGAGAGCUAAAGUUAUCAUAAGCACACCAGGUGGAAACUAUCUUACAUUGGACGUAUUUGGCCAAAAUGUAGCAGCAAUUGCUGAAAUAGAUGAAGCCGAAGUCACUGCUGACAACCUAAUCUCUGCACAGCCCUUCUCAUGUUCUUAUAAUGGUACUGUCAUGAACUCAGUUACGCGACCUUGAUAACUACCAGUGCGAAUGUAAAAUGCUUCUACUACGUAUACUAAAUUAAUAACCUUGAAUUUAAAUACAACAUAUUUCUUUUAAUUCGUAAAACAAGCAUGUUUUCUUACGCUCGCCCCACAAUGUUCAACAUUCUCCUAGUUAUAAAUUAUUGACUAUUAAAUAUAAUAAUCUAGAUGAUGCGUCAAGUCUACAGCCAGUCUCCUCUUCAAGAGAACCACCAGCCACCAUCGUCUCUCCUCCAGUCAUCAACGUCUCUCCUCCAGCCACCACCGUCUCUCCUCCAGUCACAACUAUCUCUCCACUGGAACCACCAGCCACCUCCAUCACCCCUCCAGAUCUUCCGCUGAGGAUCAGCCAAUGGAUAUUGGUGCUCUCCUGAAAGAGAAGAAAGUGCAAUCACUAUCCUAGCCUCGAUUCAAGGCCGAUUAAAAUACGUAUUUUAAUCGGCCUUGAAUCGAGGCUAUCACUAUCCCAGAGCAUGAGAAUGGCUUUGCCUUGUGUUCUUUCAGAUAUUAUAUAAUUUAUGUUUUUGUAUAAUAUUUUUGUUGAAGGGGAAUGUGGUUAAUUAGUGGGCGUGGCAUGUAAGAUGGGGCGUGGUCAGCCAAAAAUUUUGGCGCUAUGCGCCAAGUGACACUUCUUGUCCGCGCUUUGUGCAGCCAAGAAGUAAGAACCCCCCUUCCCUAAAUCCUGGAUCCGCCCCUGAUAAUGUCCCAACUCAUUGUAUAGAGUAACAAAGCCACUGAUAGGACAGGACCCCGUUGAGUUGAAGAAUAAAUUACCAGCACUGAGCACUACAGAAUACAUGUACCCUGCAUACUUAAAACCACGGUGUACGCCACAUACAGCUUCCAGAAAGCCCUCAAAACAUAAACCCAAACCAUUGCCUUACUAUCAUAAAAGCACACAAAACAAAAACCCCAAAAUAAUGAUACACCAAAAUUAAUGAAGAUAGUGAAAUUUACACAUACAAUUAAGAUCCACAAGUACAUUACCACAAUACACAAGCCUGCCCCAUUACAUAAAGAAACAUCACAUGAUAAUCCUAAAAAUAGUCAUCAAUCUCCUCUCCACCUGGCCUACCUGAAAGAUGACAAGUGAACUAAUGUAAGCUAAAUGCAUGCACACACUUUAAAUACUGAUACAUAUAAUUAUAUAUAUAUAUAUAUAAGGUAUACAGUAAGUAAGGUAACAACAGAGAUGGGAUUCCAAAUGAAAAUUCAAAACUGAGCAUUCCGUGUUGAAUAAGAUAGGAUGUGUGGUUGAAAGCCAUCAUCCACCCUAUACCUUUUGUAUACCUUCUAUAAACACACACACACAACACACCACACACACACAGCUUGCACACAAACCGCACGGCCUGCACACGCCCUCCUCACACACACCACACACACACACAGCCCCCCCCACACACACACAAACACGGCAUGCACACCACACACACACACCACACACACAUGGCCUCCUCCACACACACACACACACACACACCACACCACACCACACAACAAACACCCUCCACACACACACGGCCCCCCUCCACACACACACACACACGGCAAGCACACCCCCCUCCUCCACACACAAACACGGUGUGCACACCACACACACACACACAUGGCUGGCACACCCCCCUCCACACACACACCACCACACCACGGCACACACACAUGGCUUCCCCCCUCCACACACACACACACACACACACGGCAAGCACACCCCCCCUCCACACACACACGGCAAGCACACCCCUCUCCACACACACAUACACGACCCCACACACACCACACCCCACACACCACACAAACACUGACACACUGACACACAGCCCCUCCACACACGGCUUGCACACCACACACACACGCGGCACACCCCCUCCACACACACAUAGGCGUGCACACCCCCCUCCCCCCUCCACACACGCACACACACGGCGUGCACACCCCCCUCCACACGGCUUGCACAUGCAUGCACACACACACACCACACACACGCACGGCGUGCACACCCCCCUCCACACACACACACCACACACACGGCUUGCACACCACACACCACACGCAGCAUGCACACACCACACACACGCACGGCGUGCACACCCCCCUCCACACACCACACACACGGCCCCCGACACACACACACACACACCGACACACACACACCACACACACGGCUUGCACACACCACACACCACACACACCACACACACACACACACGGCACACACACACACACACACACACACACACAAAUACUGACACACACACACGGCUCACACACCACACACACGCACGCACACACCCCAACACACCACACACAGCUACCACAGCUACCACACACACACACACGCACGGCCUGCACUGCAAACCCCCUCACCACACCACACACACAUACGGCGUGCACACCCCCCCCCACACCCCCUCACACACACACAAACACGGCACACACACACAAACACACACACGGCGUGCACACACACACACAAACACCGACACACACACACCACACACACACGGCUUGCACACACCACACACACUCACACACACAAUACACACACACACACACACACGGCAGAGAGUGAGAAACUGUGGGUUGAGCUGGAGCCUGUAUAGAUGAUAGUGAUCCAUCUUCGAAAAUAAUUUUGUAAAAAUUGAGUUUCACGUGACUACAAUGUGCGUUGUACGCACAUCGAUGAAACCCAGAUUAAACCCCCGACAUCAAUGAUCAGUGGCGUUUCAGUAGGAGGGUGCGUGACAGCGCCAAAACAUUUUGGGUCCCGCUCCCGCCCACGCACCAGAAGCCACACCCACGUUUUACUGCGCAUGACAGACGACACACCCUAAUUACAAAGAACAAUCCCAGUACAGCAACUCUACCAUUGCCUAACUGACUCAUGCUAUAUAAUAUAUAGAAGAAAUAGUCCUGUGUGAUCGUAAUGCUGUCUUCAUUCUCUUUGCUGAGCAGCUAGUGACAGGCAGUGUGCACAAUAAUUAUACUAUCAUGCAGAAAAUCUGUAUUAAAACAAUUAUUGUUUAAUUAUUUUAUUUUGUUUUGUUUUUUGUCUUCUACCUGGUAUUUAGAGUGCCGUGAUCAGGUUUCUGCUGGUGAUGUUGGGUUACUUUCUGAGUGAGAAACAGUGGCGGACCAAGGAAAUAUGAAAGGGGGGUUCCAAACUACGAACGCGCAGCGCGAGUAGUGAAAGUUGCGCGAAAUUUUUUGGGGUUACGCCCACUUCCGGUCACACGUGACUAGGUAAAAUCCCAGGGGAAGUCCCAUAAUAAACUUGCGUAGAGCUAGCUAGCUCUGCCACGAAUAGUCAACUAGCUAACCUAGGCUAACCUGAACACUCCUUUGGCAGUUGAUGCAUCAGAACAACAGGUACAAUCAUUGAAUCAAGCUACAAUACUGAUAAAUAGCUGAUAAAUAGCUAGCUGGUAGCUGUAGUAAAGCCACAAUAGCUUAGUCUGAAAGGGGGGAUCCAUGGCACCCUGGGAUCCCCCCUGGAUCCGCCACUGAGAAAGAACAACCUUCUCUGAUGCAGGCUCUUGACUUAUAAGUCACAGCCAGGAAACUUAUUAUCUGAAGGUGUGGUUUGACUCUCUCCAACGAGCUAGGUUCGUAGUGCAGUGCAGUGCAGGCUCAUUAUGCAGCUUCCAGCAGGUUACAGUAAUUAAUGUAAAGCUUAGGGGGUGCUUGAGCACCCUGAGCCCCUAGCUGGAUACGCCACUGAUGAUCGAAACAUAGAUGAAACCCCCGACAUCGAUGAUCGAAACAUCGAUGUAACUUUUAGAUAUUAUGUCCUCUAUUGCCGUUUGUCUCAAACACAGGAAAAAUCAGCCACUUCGACGGUAGCAGAAAUUCACCGUUUAGUCGUUCGGGACAGAUCGUCACGGGCAUCCGUCAAUACUAGUGUAACGUUGUCCGUCUGCACCGUAUCGGGAACCACUUAGACGGAGCUGCACAACGGUUACCGUGUGGCUGGCCGUUCUACACUGACCGUUGAAUACGUCGUAGUGACCAUUCCUUGCCGUCCAAAGACACUAAGACGGCUACAUACGACUCGCCGUCUAGUACAGAUCAUAAUUGAAAGAAUUUUGUUUUUAUUUAUUGACGCACACACAAGAUACAAUUACAGUUCAAGUUCAGAGAAAAUCAGGCCAAGGCCACCAGAUGUCUAUUCACAGGGUGAUGGUGAUGGGGUUAGGACCUCAAGUGACCUGAGAAAGCGGACAACAACUUGACAGGUUGUUGCCUAAAGACGAUACAUCUUGACAACCAAGGCUCGCACAAGAGUACACACACACACACACACACACACACACACACACACACACACACACACACACACACACACAAACUUACACAUAGGUUGUUGCCUAAAGACGAUACAUCUUGACAACCAAGGCUCGCACAAGAGUACACACACACACACACACAACACACACACACACACACACACACACAAAAACGUAGCACACACACAAACGUACACAUACAAGCCUAAAGACGAAACAUCUUGACAGGUUGUUGCCUAAAGACGAUAGCCUAAAGACGAUAUAUCUUGACAACCAAGGCUCGCACAAGAGCACACACACACACACACACACACGUACACAUACAAGCCCCCCUGCCUAAAGACGAAACAUCUUGACAGGUUGUUGCCAUACAUCUUGACAACCAAGGCUCGCACAAGAGUACACACACACACACACACACACACACACACAAGCCCACCUGUGUUACAGGUUUUUGCAUAUUAAAAGGCGAAACGUUCACAUAAAACCAAGGCUCACAUAUAAAUAGGUCCAGCAUUGUAAGCUUACCUAGAUGUAUCACAGUGAAUUCCAUUAGGCACAUAUCUGCAGGACGGUGCAGCAGCUCAGCAGGUGGGUCCAGUGUGGCACCUAAACACUAACCUAUAACGAUAGUCAACCAGGAAGAAGAGAGUCUGUGGUGCUCAAUAAGCGCAGAACACAGAAAGUUGGAUUCCAGAAAAGACUCUAUUCACAAAGAGCGAAGAUGUUAAAGAUAGAUGCUGAGAAACAGAAGUGGUCAUCAAUUGACUACCAAUACAUGACAGAUGAGUCAGAAUCAGAUGACGAGAGCACGAUAUGGCAGCACAAACUACAAGAGCUCAACAGCUUAAUUAGAAAGCUUGAUUCUCGUGGUACCUGGAUGGGCUGGACAGUAUGCAAAGAAGAAGCGAAUGCUAUCAAUCCCAUCAACAAAACUUCAACCGAAGGAAGCACCCGACUUCAGAUGACAACUCCUCAACGGGCACUCAUACAGGUGCUAGCAACAGGACGAAUAUAGCAAGUGAACUAUAGAUCUAGCUCUAACCCUAUAGAUCUAGCUCUUGUCCCAAAUGCUAUUUAUAUGUUU